GCCGUGAUCGUAUAGUGGUUAGUACUCUGCCGUGUUUGUCGCGCAACCCCCGGUUCGAAUCCGGGUCACGGCA